GGGCGAGUGGCGGAACUGGUAUACGCGCACGACUCAAAAUCGUGUUCCGCAAGGAUUGUGGGUUCAAGUCCCACCUCGCCCACCA
rnacentral:tRNA from 1 species